rnacentral:rRNA from 1 species
GGGCACUGGAAGGUCCNUAAACCGAAAGGGGCUCUGCCCGCCCGAGGAUGGGCCGGCGGCCGAUUAGGUAGUUGGUGGGGUAACGGCCCACCAAGCCCAUAAUCGGUACGGGCAGUGAGAGCUGGAGCCCGGAGAUGGACACUGAGACACGGGUCCAGGCCCUACGGGGCGCAGCAGGCGCGAAACCUCCGCAAUGCUNGAAAGAGCGACGGGGGGACCCCAAGUGCCGUGGUACAACCACGGCUUUUCCGGAGUGUAAGAAGCUCCGGGAAUAAGGGCUGGGCAAGGCCGGUGGCAGCCGCCGCGGUAAUACCGGCGGCCCGAGUGGUGGCCACUAUUAUUGGGCCUAAAGCGUCCGUAGCCGGGCUUGUAAGUCCCUGGCGAAAUCCCACGGCUCAACCGUGGGGCUUGCUGGGGAUACUGCAAGCCUUGGGACCGGGAGAGGCCGGGGGUACUCCUGGGGUAGGGGUGAAAUCCUAUAAUCCCAGGAGGACCGCCAGUGGCGAAGGCGCCCGGCUGGAACGGGUCCGACGGUGAGGGACGAAGGCCAGGGGAGCAAACCGGAUUAGAUACCCGGGUAGUCCUGGCUGUAAAGGAUGCGGGCUAGGUGUUGCUUGGACCUCGAGUCCAAGCAGUGCCGCAGGGAAGC